CAUGAUUUGUAGCAAUACAGAUUGAUGGCGACCGGCGCACGGGUGAGUAACGCGUAUGCAACUUACCUAUCAGAGGGGGAUAGCCCGGCGAAAGUCGGAUUAAUACCCCAUAAAACAGGGGUCCCGCAUGGGAAUAUUUGUUAAAGAUUCAUCGCUGAUAGAUAGGCAUGCGUUCCAUUAGGCAGUUGGCGGGGUAACAGCCCACCAAGACGAUGAUAGGUAGGGGUUCUGAGAGGAAGGUCCCCCACAUUGGAACUGAGACACGGUCCAAACUCC
rnacentral:rRNA from 1 species